GACGGAGGAUGCAAGGGUUAUCCGGAAUCACUGGGCGUAAGGCGUCUGUAGGUGGUUUAAUAAGUCAACUGUUAAAUCUUGAGGCUCAACCUCAAAAUCGCAGUCGAAACUAUUAGGCUAGAGUAUAGUAGGGGUAAAGGGAAUUUCCAGUGGAGCGGUGAAAUGCGUAGAGAUUGGAAAGAACACCGAUGGCGAAGGCACUUUACUGGGCUAUUACUAACACUCAGAGACGAAAGCUAGGGUAGCAAAUGGG
rnacentral:rRNA from 1 species